rnacentral:rRNA from 1 species
CUUGGUCAUUUAGAGGAAGUAAAAGUCGUAACAAGGUCUCCGUUGGUGAACCAGCGGAGGGAUCAUUACGAAAGGAGUACUCGUACUCUUAAACCCUUUGUGAACAUACCUUUAUCUGUUGCUUUGGCGGGAGGCCCCUGGGAGGGGCCCCGGGGCCCGGSCUGAGCCGGGCUCCCGCCGGGGGAGCGCAACCAAAACUCUUGCUGUAACCCAGUGGCACGUCCGAGUAAAAACAAAAAAAACAAGUUAAAACUUUCAACAACGGAUCUCUUGGUUCUGGCAUCGAUGAAGAACGCAGCGAAAUGCGAUAAGUAAUGUGAAUUGCAGAAUUCAGUGAAUCAUCGAAUCUUUGAACGCACAUUGCGCCCGCCAGUAUUCUGGCGGGCAUGCCUGUUCGAGCGUCAUUUCAACCCCUCUGGGCCCAGCGCCCGGGUGUCGGGGCCCUCCCCCCGCGGGAGGCCCCUAGAGAAAUUGGCGGACCCGCCGCGGCUCCGAGCGCAGUAGUAAAAUUCUCGCUUUGGACGUCCGCGGGGGAGCUCCGGCCGUAAAACCCUCGGCGCGAGCCGUGACUCUCAAGGUUGACCUCGGAUCAGGUAGGAAUACCCGCUGAACUUAAGCAUAUCAAUAAGCGGAGGA